rnacentral:rRNA from 1 species
UGCGCAGGCAGGCUUGUAAGUCAGUGGUGAAAUACUGCCGCUUAACGGUAGAAUUGCCAUUGAUACUGCAGGUCUUGAAUAUAGUUGAGGUAGGCGGGAUGUGUUGUGUAGCGGUGAAAUGCAUAGAUAUGACACAGAACACCGAUUGCGGAGGCAGCUUACUAAGCUAUGAUUGACGCUGAGGCACGAAAGCGUGGGGAGCGAACA